UCGUAACAAGGUCUCCGUUGGUGAACCAGCGGAGGGAUCAUUACUGAGUUUACGCUCUACAACCCUUUGUGAACAUACCUAUAACUGUUGCUUCGGCGGGUAGGGUCUCCGCGACCCUCCCGGCCUCCCGCCUCCGGGCGGGUCGGCGCCCGCCGGAGGAUAACCAAACUCUGAUUUAACGACGUUUCUUCUGAGUGGUACAAGCAAAUAAUCAAAACUUUUAACAACGGAUCUCUUGGUUCUGGCAUCGAUGAAGAACGCAGCGAAAUGCGAUAAGUAAUGUGAAUUGCAGAAUUCAGUGAAUCAUCGAAUCUUUGAACGCACAUUGCGCCCGCCAGCAUUCUGGCGGGCAUGCCUGUUCGAGCGUCAUUUCAACCCUCAAGCUCUGCUUGGUGUUGGGGCCCUACAGCUGAUGUAGGCCCUCAAAGGUAGUGGCGGACCCUCUCGGAGCCUCCUUUGCGUAGUAACUUUACGUCUCGCACUGGGAUCCGGAGGGACUCUUGCCGUAAAACCCCCAAUUUUCCAAAGGUUGACCUCGGAUCAGGUAGGAAUACCCGCUGAACUUAAGCAUAUCAAUAA
rnacentral:rRNA from 1 species